rnacentral:rRNA from 1 species
AGGUUAACCGUAUAGGGGAGCCGUAGGGAAACCGAGUCUUAACUGGGCGAAUGAGUUGCAGGGUAUAGACCCGAAACCCGGUGAUCUAUCCAUGGGCAGGUUGAAGGUUGGGUAACACUAACUGGAGGACCGAACCGACUAAUGUUGAAAAAUUAGCGGAUGACUUGUGGAUGGGGGUGAAAGGCCAAUCAAACCGGGAGAUAGCUGGUUCUCCCCGAAAGCUAUUUAGGUAGCGCCUCGUGAACUCAUCUUCGGGGGUAGAGCACUGUUUCGACUAGGGGGUCAUCCCGACUUACCAACUCGAUGCAAACUGCGAAUACCGAAGAAUGUUAUCACGGGAGACACACGGCGGGUGCUAACGUCCGUCGUGAAGAGGGAAACAACCCAGACCGCCAGCUAAGGUCCCAAAGUCAUGGUUAAGUGGGAAACGAAGUGGGAAGGCUCAGACAGCCAGGAUGUUGGCUUAGAAGCAGCCAUCAUUUAAAGAAAGCGUAAUAGCUCACUGGUCGAGUCGGCCCGCGCGGAAGAUGUAACGGGGCUAAACCAUGCACCGAAGCUGCGGCAGCGACACAUAGUGUUGUUGGGUAGGGGAGCGUUCUGUAAGCCUGCGAAGGUGUACUGUGAGGUAUGCUGGAGGUAUCAGAAGUGCGAAUGCUGACAUAAGUAACGAUAAUGCGGGUGAAAAACCCGCACGCCGGAAGACCAAGGGUUCCUGUCCAACGUUAAUCGGGGCAGGGUGAGUCGACCCCUAAGGCGAGGCUGAAAAGCGUAGUCGAUGGGAAACGGGUUAAUAUUCCCGUACUGGUGGUAACUGCGAUGGGGGAACGGAGAAGGCUAGGUUGUCCGGGCGACGGUCGUCCCGGUUCAAGCAGGUAGGCAGAGUGAUUAGGCAAAUCCGGUCACUUAAUGCUGAGAUGUGAUGACGAACCAC